UACGGAGGGGGCUAGCGUUGUUCGGAAUUACUGGGCGUAAAGCGCACGUAGGCGGCUUUGUAAGUUAGAGGUGAAAGCCCGGAGCUCAACUCCGGAAUUGCCUUUAAGACUGCAUCGCUUGAAUCCAGGAGAGGUGAGUGGAAUUCCGAGUGUAGAGGUGAAAUUCGUAGAUAUUGGGAAGAACACCGGUGGCGAAGGCGGCUC
rnacentral:rRNA from 1 species